rnacentral:lncRNA from 1 species
AAUAUUAUGUCAAAACCCCUAAUGUGAUUAUUCCUUCUUAUAUGAUUCUUUUGAGUCGUAUAAGAACGUUUUCCUUUAUUACGCUCGAUACUUCGGUCGAAGAUUCCCGAAUCAUAUCUUAGAGUAUUCUUCCUCUCUUAUCGAGGAUUAGAGAUUCUUGUUGCGCAUACACUUGCCUUCAUGACUAAGUGGCUUAACCCCAAUUAUGCC